rnacentral:rRNA from 1 species
ACGGGAGGCAGCAGUGGGGAGUAUUGGGCAAUGGACGAAAGUCUGACCCAGCGACGCCGCGUGAGGGAAGAAGGUCUUCGGAUUGUAAACCUCUUUCAGCAGGGAAGAAGAAAGUGACGGUACCUGCAGAAGAAGUCACGGCUAACUACGUGCCAGCAGCCGCGGUAAUACGUAGGGGGCAAGCGUUAUCCGGAUUUACUGGGUGUAAAGGGAGCGUAGACGGUUUGGCAAGUCUGAAGUGAAAUGCGGGGGCUCAACUCCUGAACUGCUUUGGAAACUGUCGAACUAGAGUGCAGGAGAGGUAAGUGGAAUUCCUAGUGUAGCGGUGAAAUGCGUAGAUAUUAGGAGGAACACCAGUGGCGAAGGCGGCUUACUGGACUGUAACUGACGUUGAGGCUCGAAAGCGUGGGGAGCAAACAGGAUUAGAUACCCUGGUA